GAAGCCCCAAAACCCCCUCUGGCCAUUCUUCCAAUUAUUUCUUCUCUCUCUCUCUCUAUCUCUCGAUCCAGAGCACUCGCUCUCUCUCACUGCAGAACAACCUCCUAAAGCUCACACAUCCGCAAACAUUUGACCAUCUAAUCGGGUGCUUAUCAAGUAGGUUUCAUCUCCUUUUUGGAUUCAUUUUGUUCAUCCUUUCUUAUGGAGGUUUCCAUCAUUUUUGUACCUACUGAAUAAUUGACUCUAGGGCUUUGAUAAUUGGUCCAUCAUCAAGAAAUUUACACAGAUGUGUAAUGUUGUGUAUUAUUUUGGGGAAAAAUACGAGUAAUGGUGAAUUGGGAUUUUAGUGAGGGGAUUGCUAAUGGAAUGAAUUACUAGUAUUUUG
rnacentral:lncRNA from 1 species